GUCUAGCUCACUGGGGGUUCAGUCUUAGCAGGACCCAGGGCUUCCCCUUCCACUGGUGCUCUUACUAGGAUAUUCAUUGCUACCUAUGGGGUCAGAGUCCAGGGUCAGUCCAUGUAUAGUCUUUAGGUAGUGGCUUAGUCCCUGGAAGCUCUGGUUGCUUGACAUUGUUGUACUUUUGGGGUCUCGAGCACCUUCAAGCUCUUCCAGUUCUUUCUCUGAUUCCUUCAACGGGGGACCUAUUCUCAGUUCAGUGGUUUGCUGCUGGCAUUCGCCUCUGUAUUUGCUGUAUUCUGGCUGUGUCUCUCAGGAGCGAUCUACAUCCAGCUCCUGUCGGUCUGCACUUCUUUGCUUCAUCCAUCUUGUCUAAUUGGGUGGCUGUAUAUGGGCAUAUACCCAAAAGAUGCCUCAACAUAUAAAAGAGACACGUGCUCCACUAUGUUCAUCGCAGCCUUAUUUAUUAUAGCCAGAAACUGGAAAGAACCCAGAUCCCCUUCAACAGAGGAAUGGAUACAGAAAAUGUGGUACAUCUGCACAAUGGAAUAUUUCUCAGCUAUCAAAAACAACGAGUUUAUGAAAUUCGUAGGCAAAUGGUUGGAACUGGAAAAUAUCAUCCUGAGUGAGCUAACCCAAUCACAGAAAGACAUACAUGGUAUGCACUCAUUGAUAAGUGGCUAUUAGCCCAAAUGCUUGAAUUACCCUAGAUCCCUAGAACAAACGAAACUCAAGACGGAUGAUCAAAAUGUGAAUGCUUCACUUUAAAUGAGGAAAAAGAAUACCCUUGGCAGGGAAGGGAGAGGCAAAGAUUAAAACAGAGACUGAAGGAACACCCAUUCAGAGCCUGCCCCACAGCCAGUUUUUAUUAUCCUUCUUGACUCUAAAGUCAGAACUUUGUAGCCAAUGCUGCCAAGUUUUUCAACUGGGACAAAGGCCUCUCCUUGACUUACAUUUGCAUAAGCUUUCCAUUGUUGAUGGUUUCCUUUCAGCCUUAAGCUUUCCUUUCUUUUCACAAGUUGGAAGCUUAGCUGGGUGGGGUCCUAUCCUGUGGUACCAGUUGCUUAAUUGCAUUUCAGGCCUUUUAAAAAUCUUCCCAGCAAGAGACUUGGCUCCAAUAUUACAUUUCCUGAGGAUUACAUCUAUUCUUCAAAUUGUAUGCCCUGUAUUUCUCUUUGCCCUGCUUGCUCAUUUUCAAUUUCUGAUCCAUAUAAUAGUGGUCAUUAAUAACCAAAUGAGAGAUUUUUAUGUUAGGCAGAUUUUUACGUGAGGUCAAAAAGUCAUUCAUCAGAAUAUCACAGGAAUGAUCUCUAGGCUACUUACUAAAAUUUUUGCCCUCUGAAUCCUACCUAACUGUGCCCACAUUAUACAAAUUGCUUUAAACAUUGUCUUCCAUGCUCCUUCUAGGUUGGCCCAGUUAAGUCCCACUUAAAAUUUUCAAACACUUUUCUAGUCCAAAUUCUUGAAGUCUUUCAACAUCCUUCAAACAAAAGGAUGGUCAGGUCUAUCUUAAUCCCUAGUAUCAAUUUCUGUCUUAGUUACUGUUCUAGUGAUAUGAGGAGAUGACAUGACCAAGACAACACUUAUAAAUGGAAGAAUUUAAUUGGAGUUUUGCUUAGAGUAUUAUACUUUUAGCCCAUUAUCAUCAUGGUGGGAAGUAUGACAGAAUACUAACAUGGUGCUGGAUCCUCAAAGGGACACACUUCCUCCAACAAGAACUUGCCUACUCCAACAAGGUCAUAUUUCCUAAUCCUUCCAAACAGUUUAACUGGGGAUUGUGUUUGCAAAUUAUGAGCCUAUGUAAGGAAUUCUCAUUCAAAAUACCAUAGUUACCUUUGCCUUUAUGAAUUCUGUUUGAGGACAGUUUUAGCUAAAUCAGUCAUUGUAGAAAACAAUGCCUGAGGGUUCUUAUGAAGGCCAAUGUCCCAACUAAACACUGACAACUAUCUUUAAUUUUAAAAUUGUAUUAUAAUAUAAAUUAUUUGCACAAAAUGGUGAACCUUACUAUGACAUUUUCAUGCAUGAUACAAUGUUCUUUGAUUAUAUCUGUCAGCCAUUACCCUCUUUUAUUUUCUCUUCUCUGGUAUACCAUUCCUUUUGAAAAGUGCCCUUUCCACCCCCUCUCCCCCACACUUCUCAUUAACUUUAUUACUUCUAUCUUUCUUAUUACAAGACAGUAAUGAAAUUUUAUGUUUCUAAGGUUAAUGAUUAUGGAUUUCUGUAAUGAUUUCUGCUACAAAAAUUCAUUGGUGAAAGAUGAGAGCUACAUUUAUCUGUAGGUACAAGGAUAAAUAUUUUGGAAUGAGGCUUAGGUUUUACUGGUUUAGGAAAUCACUACUAGUAGGUUCUCCUUGAGUUUCUACAAUUGUUGAAAAUGCAAAGAACAACUAACUGUCUUCUAAGUAACACAUUUAUAAAACAACUAUGAGACUGAAGAUUCAGAGACAUUGGGGAAAGGGAUCAGAAAAUUUUUAAGGGACAGAUGACCAGGAUAUCACCUGAAAUACGGUUUUCUAUGUAUGAUUGGUGCCUGACUCUCAAUGGUAUAAUCACCUAAAAGAAGACCAAUAUAAUGGUAACACCAAUUGAUAUACCUAUGUGGGUGGGGGGAAAAAAUCUCAAAAGGUACCAUCACCAGAUGAAGAGUUAUAGGAAAUUAAUGACUACUAAGAGGAGAGUAUUUAAUCUUCUAAAGGGAUAUGACUCCUAUUAGGUUAACAAAGCUCAAUUCCUCUCCUCUCUCUCUCUCUCGCUCUUUCUCUCUCUCUCCUCUCUCCACACACACACACACACACACAUGAAAAGAAAAUUAUACGAAUUCUAGGUUUAUAAAUAUAAAAAUUAAAAGAAUAAACCCCAAAAGGCCACAGACCCAGGGCUAAGCCCUGCAGCCAAGACUAGCAGGCCAUAAAGAUAAAGGAGCACAGGAAACACUGUUCAGGCAGGACUGACAAGCCAUAAAGAAAAGGAAUGCAGGAACCAGCCUGAGUUAAUGGGACUGAUUCAUGGGACGUCUGGCAGGAAGACAUCUCCCCCCAGCUCACUCAGGGCCAUCCUCCAGACCCUGAUAAGCCCCUGACUUCUAACACGUACUCUUUCUGCUUUGUUCUCACUGCUAUGUUUGAAUGAGCCAAUUGUAUGUAACCACGCCAAAACCCCCUAGCCUUCUCUAUAUAACCCUCUGACUUUUGAGUUUCGGGGCCGACACCUCUGUCUCCUGCGUGGGAUAUGUGUCGGCCCGGAGAUCUCUGUAAUAGGUCUCCGUAAUAAACCUCGCCUUUGCUUAUUACAUCCAAAAUGGUCUCUCUGUGUCUGGGGUCCGCGAUUUCCCAAGACUUGAGUAAGGGUCUCUCUGCGUGGGAUUUUUCAUAAUGGGGGCUCGUCCGGGAUCUGCGCGACCACCCCAGACUCCGAAGACCCCUUGGAGGCUAAAAGACCUACAGGUGAUACAGAAAGAAAUCUGCUCACAGCUGACAGCAGCCUAUGCCCCGAAGACCCCUGAGACAUCCCAUCAGUUCCAGGCCGGAAGCAGCUACACUGAGCCCAGACACUCGAGCCUCGCUGGAAAGGACCGUACCUGGUGCUGCUGACCACCCUGACAGCCGUCAAUUCUCAGCCCUCACCAGCCGUGUACUUACUAGCUGUUAGGGCUGAGAGCUGGGACCUAGAGGGAAAUUCAGUCAUGUUUGUCCUGGGUUCCAUCGAGAUAGGUGGGGGGAUAGGCUUGAUUUCUAUUACAAAUGAUGUAACAUUACAUAUGUUAAUACUCCUAACACUUCUUGGGACUGUGCCUCAGGGAUCACUACCUGUAUAAGUUUAAAAGUUCUGAAAGACAGUAAUGACCUUGGUGUAUAGGUUUAGAUAGUGUCCAGAUAGAAUCCUGAUGCCAAAGACUUUUUAGCUGACCUCCAAGAAUACCUAACCUCCCUCUCAGAGGUAGUCCUUCAAAAUAAGAAAAGAUUAGACCUGAUAUUCCUUAAAAAAGGAGUCUGUGUGCUAUACUGAAAGAAAAAUGUUGCUUCUAUACAGACCAUUCAGGAAUAAUUAAAGACUCCAUAAAUAAACUUAAAAAAAGGUUAGACAAAAGACAGACAAGAAAACACAUCAGAGAUGGUUCGAGAGCUAGUUUAGUAGAUCUCCCUGGAUGACUACCCUACACUCUGCUACAGCUGGGCCAUUAUUAAUAAUUUUCUUGGUUUUAGUUUUUGGCUCCUGCGUGACAAACAGGUUAAUUGCUUUUGUUAAAAAUUGAGUGGGUGCUGUGCGGUUGAUGGUUGUGAGACAACAGUACCAGUCAGUUAGGACAACUGGUGAGACCAAAUAAGACUUGAUAUCAAAAUUCUAAGAUUAGAAUUAUUUAAUAGGAGAAGACGGGAAUGAAAAGAAAAUUAUACGAAUUCUAGGUUUAUAAAUAUAAAAAUUAAAAAAAUAAACCCCAAAAGGCCACAGACCCAGGGCUAAGCCCUGCAGCCAAGACUAGCAGGCCAUAAAGAUAAAGGAGCACAGGAAACACUGUUCAGGCAGGACUGACAAGCCAUAAAGAAAAGGAAUGCAGGAACCAGCCUGAGUUAAUGGGACUGAUUCAUGGGACGUCUGGCAGGAAGACAUCUCCCCCCAGCUCACUCAGGGCCAUCCUCCAGACCCUGAUAAGCCCCUGACUUCUAACACGUACUCUUUCUGCUUUGUUCUCACUGCUAUGUUUGAAUGAGCCAAUUGUAUGUAACCACGCCAAAACCCCCUAGCCUUCUCUAUAUAACCCUCUGACUUUUGAGUUUCGGGGCCGACACCUCUGUCUCCUGCGUGGGAUACGUGUCGGCCCGGAGAUCUCUGUAAUAGGUCUCCGUAAUAAACCUCGCCUUUGCUUAUUACAUCCAAAA